AAAACGACUCUCGGCAACGGAUAUCUCGGCUCUCGCAUCGAUGAAGAACGUAGCGAAAUGCGAUACUUGGUGUGAAUUGCAGAAUCCCGUGAACCAUCGAGUCUUUGAACGCAAGUUGCGCCCCAAGCCGCGAGGCCGAGGGCACGUCUGCCUGGGUGUCACGC
rnacentral:rRNA from 1 species